UGAGGCAGAGGCCUCAAUCCGGGCCCGUACCUACAUAGAUGGGCCGGAAUUUCAGUUUUGACUUCCAGGCCCAUCUACUGGAAAUGGGCCAUAAUUGUGGUGGGCUGCCAAACAAGGCCCACAUUUGGGCGCGAAAUUCCCCCCUUUUCCCCCCUUCUUCCCCAGCGAGGCUGCGACGGCGGCAACGAGCAUUAAACGCGGUCGACGGCCGUUAGCGAGGUUUCCGUUCCCCUUUCGUUCAUCCGCCUCCUCGUCGUCGUCGUCGUCGUCGUCGUCGCCCAGCGCAUUGCCCGUCGCCGCCAUGGCGGCGAGAGGCAGCAAGAAACGCAAGCUAGCCGAGGAGGACCCGGGCAUCAUCGGAGCAGGGCGGCCGCCGUCUCCUCCAUCCGGGUCUCGUGGCUCGGCUGACCGGCGCCUGGGGGUGGUGGUGGUGGCAGAUCCGGAUUCCGAUCAGGGGUCGUGCGACUCGCUGCUGUCGGACGCCACCACGAGGCUUACCCAAGACGACGCAGCCGAGGCUGCUUCGCGGCUCCUCAUCGCCGUCGUCGUCAGGUCGCCCGAAGCCCUCCUCGCGUUCGUCCAGCGACUCACUCCGGAAGCAGUGUUCCGCGCCAUCGAUUGGGACCUCGUCCCGUCUGGCGAGGCAAGGAAGAUUGCGGAGGGUCGAACACAUUGGACCGAGGAAGAGCUUCGUGUCUUCCUCCAGAGUUGCUUGGAGGAGAUUCAGGCACGCAACAUCAUCUCCUCGUCCCCCGAAGCACAAGGGUUCAUCAAUUUGGAGAGGAAGAUGCUAGAGAGGGCAGGAAAGAUAGUAACCAAGAAGCAAGUGAAGUGGCGCUGGGUAAAGUCUCGCAAAAACUUCAACAUGUAGACUUGGCUGGAAUCCAAGGCUACCGGAUUUGCACGUGAUCCGGUGACUCAGGCCAUCCUCGCUCCCGACAAGUGGUGGGAAAGCCAGGAGUCGGAAAGGAAAGGAGCGAAGGCAUUCAAGGAUGCUCCUCUCAAGUGUAUCGACGAGCACCAUGCUGUUUUCCAAGGACGCAUGGUCGUCGAGGAUCACUCCAAUGUGCCCGGAGCACAACCAGUGGUUGACCAGCAACCAGCACAUCAACCAAUGAUCAAUGUGGAGGACAUUAGGGCACCACCCCUACCCCCACCAUCGGCUGCAGCCAGGGUGAAGGGCAAGAGGCCUUCUGCCACUGAGAGUGGAACUUCAGGGAGCUCUUCAAAGAGCAGGACAUGCAGUGACUCCAGCGACGAGGCUCUCCACAGGCUAGCUGAUGAUUCGAGGGUCGAGUCCAUGGAGAGCCUCGCUGAAAGGGAGGAGGAGAAGAAGGUGAGAGGCUUGGAGGCUUGCAUGGACAUGGUGGAGGCCGAUGGAUACCCCCCGGGCAGCGAGUUGUGGUACAUGGCAGCCCAACUGUUCCGUGACGACGCAUGCUGGCAUCAGUUCUUCCUCGACGAUCGCCACACUGCAGAGUCUCGUCUCCGGUUCAUUCAGGUCCACUGCAAUUGGUUGCGUAGGGGAGCGGCACCGUCUGCAACAGCGCACCGCAACCAACCUGUUUGUUGACAGAGUAAUUUGGCUAAUACUAGAUACUUCCUCCGUUUCGCAAUGUAAGUCAUUCUAGCAUUUCUCACAUUCAUAUUGA